GUGGGUAUAACUCAGUGGUAGAGCACAUGCUUAACAUGCACAAGGCCCCGGGUUCAAUCCCCAGUACCUCUA
rnacentral:tRNA from 1 species